rnacentral:tRNA from 1 species
UACUUAUAAGAGAAUUGGCUGAGUGGUUUAUAGCGGUAAGCUUGAAACUUAUUUGGUUUAAUAGACCACAUCCGUUCGAAUCGGAUAUUCUCUGU